CAAUAAGCGGAGGAAAAGAAACCAACAGGGAUUGCCCUAGUAACGGCGAGCGAAGCGGCAACAGCUCAAAUUUGAAAUCUGGCUACUUUGUAGUCCGAGUUGUAAUUUGUAGAGGAUGCUUUUGGUGAGGUGCCUUCCGAGUUCCCUGGAACGGGACGCCAGAGAGGGUGAGAGCCCCGUACGGUUGGAUACCAAACCUUUGUAUAGCUCCUUCGACGAGUCGAGUAGUUUGGGAAUGCUGCUCUAAAUGGGAGGUAUAUCUCUUCUAAAGCUAAAUAUAGGCUAGAGACCGAUAGCGCACAAGUAGAGUGAUCGAAAGAUGAAAAGCACUUUGAAAAGAGAGUUAAACAGCACGUGAAAUUGUUGAAAGGGAAGCGCCUAUGACCAGACUUGUUUCUUUCAGUUUUGUUAGUUUUCGGACUGAUUUACUCUGUUAGUACAGGCCAGCAUCAGUUUGUUGUCGGGGAGAAAGGCUCAGGGAAUGUGGCUUCUUCGGGAGUGUUAUAGCCCUUUGCAUAAUACCCUUCGGCAGACUGAGG
rnacentral:rRNA from 2 species